GGGGGUAUAACUCACAGUGGUAGAGCAUUCGACUGCGCAUCGAGAGGUCCCCGGUUCAAACCCGGAUGCUCCCU
rnacentral:tRNA from 1 species